GCUGGGCAUGGUGGCGCGUGCCUGUUAUCCCAGCUACUCGGGAGGCUGAGGCAGGAGAAUCGCUUGAACCCAGGAGACAGAGGUUGCAGUGAGCCGAGAUCAUGCCACUGCACUCCAGCCUGGGUGACAGAGCUAGACUCUGUCUUCA
rnacentral:SRP_RNA from 1 species